rnacentral:rRNA from 1 species
UACGGAGGGUGCAAGCGUUAAUCGGAAUUACUGGGCGUAAAGCGUGCGCAGGCGGUUUGUUAAGUCCGUUGUGAAAGCCCCGAGCUCAACUUGGGAAUUGCAGUGGAUACUGGCAGGCUGGAGUACGGUAGAGGAAGGUGGAAUUCCCGGUGUAGCAGUGAAAUGCGUAGAUAUCGGGAGGAACACCAGUGGCGAAGGCGGCCUUCUGGACCAGUACUGACGCUCAUGCACGAAAGCGUGGGAGCAAACAGG